rnacentral:rRNA from 1 species
AUUGAACGCUGGCGGCAGGCCUAACACAUGCAAGUCGAGCGGAUGAAGGGAGCUUGCUCCCUGAUUUAGCGGCGGACGGGUGAGUAAUGCCUAGGAAUCUGCCUGGUAGUGGGGGAUAACGUUCCGAAAGGAACGCUAAUACCGCAUACGUCCUCGGGAGAAAGCAGGGGACCUUCGGGCCUUGCGCUAUCAGAUGAGCCUAGGUCGGAUUAGCUAGUCGGUGAGGUAAUGGCUCACCAAGGCGACGAUCCGUAACUGGUCUGAGAGGAUGAUCAGUCACACUGGAACUGAGACACGGUCCAGACUCCUACGGGAGGCAGCAGUGGGGAAUAUUGGACAAUGGGCGAAAGCCUGAUCCAGCCACGCCGCGUGUGUGAAGAAGGUCUUCGGAUUGUAAAGCACUUUAAGUUGGGAGGAAGGGCAGUAAGCUAAUACCUUGCUGUUUUGACGUUACCGACAGAAUAAGCACCGGCUAACUUCGUGCCAGCCGCCGCAGUAA